rnacentral:rRNA from 1 species
AUUGAACGCUGGCGGCAGGCCUAACACAUGCAAGUCGAACGAGUGGCGGACGGGUGAGUAAUGUCUGGGAAACUGCCUGAUGGAGGGGGUAAAUAAUUGGAACGGUAACCAAAACCCCAUACCAACAGAUGUGCCCAGAUGGGAUUAGCUAGUUGGGGGGGUAACGGCCCACCAAGGCGACGAUCCCUAGCUGGUCUGGGAGGAUGACCAGCCACACUGGAACUGAGACACGGUCCAGACUCCUACGGGAGGCAGCAGUGGGGAAUAUUGCACAAUGGGCGCAAGCCUGAUGCAGCCAUGCCGCGUGUAUGAAGAAGGCCUUCGGGUUGUAAAGUACUUUCAGCGGGGAGGCGUUACCCGCAGAAGAAGCACCGGCUAACUCCGUGCCAGCAGCCGCGGUAAUUC